UACAGGUGACUCUCGAUCUCUCGAAGUUCAAGGGACCGCGAGAAAAGUUCGAGAGAUCGAAGGGAGUAAAUUUGCUUAGUUAUAUAGAGGAAAAAAACGGGACCGGGGGUUCACUUCGAGAGAUAGAGAACUUCGAGAGAUCGGAGUUCGAGCCAUCGAGAGUCACCUGUA